rnacentral:rRNA from 1 species
GACGAACGCUGGCGGCGUGCUUAACACAUGCAAGUCGAACGGUAAGGCCCUUCGGGGUACACGAGUGGCGAACGGGUGAGUAACACGUGGGUGAUCUGCCCUGCACUUCGGGAUAAGCCUGGGAAACUGGGUCUAAUACCGGAUAGGACCACUGCCUGCAUGGGUGGUGGUGGAAAGCUUUUGCGGUGUGGGAUGGGCCCGCGGCCUAUCAGCUUGUGGGUGGGGUGAUGGCCUACCAAGGCGACGACGGGUAGCCGGCCUGAGAGGGUGACCGGCCACACUGGGACUGAGAUACGGCCCAGACUCCUACGGGAGGCAGCAGUGGGGAAUAUUGCACAAUGGGCGCAAGCCUGAUGCAGCGACGCCGCGUGAGGGAUGACGGCCUUCGGGUUGUAAACCUCUUUCAGCACUGACGAAGCGCAAGUGACGGUAGGUGCAGAAGAAGGACCGGCCAACUACGUGCCAGCCGCCGCCGUAA